GGGGGCGAAACGGCUUCGACGGGGAUGUGCAAGCUCAUCGUUGCAUGCCGAGCUUCUGUCGGCUCGUAAAAACGGCGGAACCUAAAUAUAAUCGCAGACGAUUAUAACUACGCAGUAGCAGCGUAACAGCUGUCAUACUGCCGUCCCACCGGCUGCCGCCCUUGCGGCCGGAUUAGGGGCGUCGACUCAAGGGGCUGGCCGCUGGGCGGUGCCUGUACGCCACGCGGUAAGAUCUACAAGGGCUAGCACUGGAAGCGCUCUGUUUCCGCGGCAUAUCCAGGGCGAACACCCACGCCGGAAACUAAGCAUGUAGAUACGGGAGGGGAGCAUUCACGGACGCGGGUUCGACUCCCGCCGCCUCCACCA
rnacentral:tmRNA from 3 species